GGGUUGGGCUGUUCGCCCAUUAAAGCGGUACGCGAGCUGGGUUCAGAACGUCGUGAGACAGUUCGGUCCCUAUCCGUCGUGGGCGCAGGAAAUUUGAGAGGAGCUGUCCUUAGUACGAGAGGACCGGGAUGGACGCACCGCUGGUGUACCAGUUGUCUUGCCAAAGGCAUCGCUGGGUAGCUAUGUGCGGAAGGGAUAAGUGCUGAAAGCAUCUAAGCAUGAAGCCCCCCUCGAGAUGAGAUUUCCCAUAGCGUCAAGCUAGUAA
rnacentral:rRNA from 1 species